AACACGAAGAGCAUGGCAUGUAG
rnacentral:piRNA from 1 species